rnacentral:rRNA from 1 species
CCCUUAGAUGUUCUGGGCCGCACGCGUGCUACACUGACCGGCGCAACAAGUUUCUUUCCUUGGCUCGAUAGGCCUGGGUAAUCUUUGAACGCCGGUCGUGAUGGGGAUAGAUCCUUGCAAUUUUUGAUCUUCAACGAGGAAUUCCUAGUAAAUGCGAGUCAUCAUCUCGCGUUGAUUACGUCCCUGCCCUUUGUACACACCGCCCGUCGCACCUACCGAUUGAAUGGUCCGGUGAAGCCUCGGGACUGCGAAUGCUUCGUGCGGACGCGAGAACUUGGCUAAACCUUACCAUUUAGAGGAAGGUGAAGUCGUAACA